rnacentral:rRNA from 1 species
CGGGAGGCCUAACACAUGCAAGCCGAGCGGUAUUUAUUCUUCGGAAUAGAGAGAGCGGCGUACGGGUGCGGAACACGUGUGCAACCUGCCUUUAUCAGGGGGAUAGCCUUUCGAAAGGAAGAUUAAUACCCCAUAAUAUAAUUGAUGGCAUCAUUGAUUAUUGAAAACUCCGGUGGAUAGAGAUGGGCACGCGCAAGAUUAGAUAGUUGGUAGGGUAACGGCCUACCAAGUCAGUGAUCUUUAGGGGGCCUGAGAGGGUGAUCCCCCACACUGGUACUGAGACACGGACCAGACUCCUACGGGAGGCAGCAGUGAGGAAUAUUGGACAAUGGGUGAGAGCCUGAUCCAGCCAUCCCGCGUGAAGGACGACGGCCCUAUGGGUUGUAAACUUCUUUUGUAUAGGGAUAAACCUAGAUACGUGUAUCUAGCUGAAGGUACUAUACGAAUAAGCACCGGCUAACUCCGUGCCAGCAGCCGCGGUAAUACGGAGGGUGCAAGCGUUAUCCGGAUUUAUUGGGUUUAAAGGGUCCGUAGGCGGAUCUGUAAGUCAGUGGUGAAAUCUCAUAGCUUAACUAUGAAACUGCCAUUGAUACUGCAGGUCUUGAGUAAGGUAGAAGUAGCUGGAAUAAGUAGUGUAGCGGUGAAAUGCAUAGAUAUUACUUAGAACACCAAUUGCGAAGGCAGGUUACUAUGUCUUAACUGACGCUGAUGGACGAAAGCGUGGGGAGCGAACAGGAUUAGAUACCCUGGUAGUCCACGCCGUAAACGAUGCUAACUCGUUUUUGGGUUUUCGGAUUCAGAGACUAAGCGAAAGUGAUAAGUUAGCCACCUGGGGAGUACGUUCGCAAGAAUGAAACUCAAAGGAAUUGACGGGGGCCCGCACAAGCGGUGGAUUAUGUGGUUUAAUUCGAUGAUACGCGAGGAACCUUACCAA